rnacentral:ncRNA from 1 species
AUAAAUCCAGUGAAUGAGAAAGUAAAAAUAAUUUUGCUUUUAGAAGCAAGGUGGAGUAGCUGAAAGUCCAUCAGGUAGAUUAUUUUGAAACGCACUCAGGAGGAUCUCUGUUGAAAGAAGUAGGUGGAGACGUCGGACACGCGUUAAGUUCUAGAGUGGUCAGUUAUUGCUGGCAACUGGAGUGGUAACACGGGUAAUUCCUCGUCUCUUUU